ACGAGUCUAAUAAUCUAUCGUUGCUAAUGGCUUCCAUGUGAGUAGCACAUGACUGUGGGGUGGUGGGUGAGAAACUGAAUUUCGGUUAUUAUAGCUGCGUUUGUAAGAAAUAUGUUAGAACGAUUAUAGCUUGGUUUCGCGUCAAUCAUUUGGACCGUCAUGUGAAAAAAAUUUAUGUGAAUCAACUUUCAUUAGAUCGUAUCAAGGGUACUUUCGUUCAUUAUUUAAAAAAUGUGUAUGUAUGUGGUAAUUCUCGUUACCAGGUUCUAUUGAGCUCAGAAACGUUCCGGACCUCGAUUUAAACUAACUUGGUGUCACAGUGUCCUGCUUAGUUGGGAAAAUGUUUACUGAUCUUCCGCCAACUUCAUUUCAAAUCCAUGGGUUAUUCGUUUAAAGGAGUUGUAAUUGCUGGCUGUUGCUAAAGAAGAAGCCUAGCAAUGAAAGUUCGAAAGAAGUUUCUAAAGAAAGCAAUACCAGGAACAAAAAAGAAGCUGCUCUGUAUCUGAUGGAAACAAAAUGGUGGUCAGAGAAUGAGUAUUGAUUACUGUCUCAUUUUUUUGCAACACCAACAUCUGUUUUGUUAACAUCUGGAGUACACUUAAUUACUAGUGGUGUUCCCAACAUGAAUUAUAGAAACGUUCAUUAGCGGUAUGAAAACUCAAAGCCACUGCCAGGAGACGUUUUUGCAUUUAGAGUACGUGUCGAUUCGAUCACAGCUCAAACAUGCGACGAGGAUGGAUCGAUUCCUGACCCAGAUACCAGUGUUUCCUCUGGCCAUACUUUUCUGCUUGAAUUCCUGAACAGGAAAAUGUUUAGGGUAACUGGCUACAAAAGCUCAUGUAUUUACUAAUUUAUCUGACACAGUUUUAUCUAAUAACUGACUGGAAAGCUGCAGAAUUGAAGAAUUCUUCCUACACUUUGUCAGCGGCCUAUGCUAAAAUGAAGCCUAAUAUCAGUGCGUUCUCUCUCGAAGAAUGACAAGUACGUAUCAAAUGAAACCCAGUUGUUCACAAUAACAUUAUUCUAAAACUUCGCGUAGUCCAGCAUCAUCGGUUGAUUUAUUAGUUGAAAUUCCUCUAAAACUUCAGACGUAUUCUACAGUUUAAGCGUUGGCAGGCAUCGCCUCCGAAGUUUGAAUGUGCCUAAAUUGAUUGUCCCACGAAAACAUUAAGAUGGUUUCUCAGCGUGUUAAAGAUGUCGCAAGUUAAAUCUUCUGCUUCAAUCAACAUUCAUUGAAAAACCGGCAGUUGUUGUGCAGCAAAUAUCAGAAACCAAUUAGCUGUGUAUUAUACGUUUUCGGGGGAUGACUUUGAUUAGCAACCUUUUAAGGAAAAAACGAAAAAAAAACAUGGAGCGUCGAGUUCUAGUUCUACUGGAAAUCGCGUGCCGAAAGAAAAUGGUGGAAAAUCAGAUAUUAUUGCAGUAAAUAAUUUCAAGCUGAAGAAUACGUUUCAAAUUCGCUUUUCGAACUUUCUCUAGUCUAUUUUCGAAAACCCCCCACAUCCUGGCGCUGUCCUCAAAUACCUCGUUACAAGGGAAAAAAUAGUAAUACGAAAUGUUCAGCUAUUCAAGUCAUGAAGAUUCCCUCAUUGGAAACAAAUUUUAAAUCUUGCAGCUUCCAGUUUUUGUCUUUAUUUUCCUACUUCUCCUCUUGUUAAGGGACAACCAAACUUGAUCUUGUUCUUGUGAUGGAUUUGGAUUAUUGGUAAGUUAUGCUUUUAUUCUCGCAAACUGUUUAUUAUACUGUUGUGGAACCUGCUUUUCAACAUUUUCUAAUAUAGCAGUUUGGCAAAAGUUAUUCCUUACCUGCACGAAUCUAGUUAACCAGGACCCAUUUAAUGCUUAUUCGCCGUGCCAAAAUUUGUAUCAUUGACAUGUUUUCAAAGUAGAGCAAGAUUUUCAAUUAGAUUAAUUUUUUCACUUUUCUUUUUUGGCAUUGUUGCAAUGAAUCAAACGCAAAAACUCGCUGAUUGUCACUGUGAUGAAUGAGGUUAUAACUUAGAAUAAGGACUGUGCAGGUGCAGGAUGCAGUUAUAGUGUAGCUUUUGUCGUGAGAGGUAAUCCAAAAUCAACAUACUGAUAAGACAAGAAGGGCAUGACCUGGAAGAGAAAGUUUACUACAUCUGCCCUACUUCAGAUGCCAUUAUAUUUAUAGUGCAAGUAUUUGAAAAACCUUGUUAAUUACUUCUUAGUUAAAAAAAAAACUUAUACUUUCUAAAAGUGGCCAUCAAUUUUUGUGAGAAAUGGCACCAUUCAUUGACAUUACAGAGGUCAUCAUUUGAGUAGAGAAAAAAAAAAUAAUUGUAAUAUAUAUCAUUUGACUUUUUAUAGACUGAGGAGGAAUCCCACUUCAUCAAACAGUUGUCCUUUCCAGUAAAUACAAAUCUUUAUUGCAUUUGCUAUUAUAAUAACAAAUCUGUACAACAGAAAUUCAGGUGAAGAAGGGAUACUAGCUUAACAAUCAAAUACAAACAGAAAAACUGGAAGAUGUAAAGAAGGAAGAGUCAGCAAAGAAAGCAAAAUAACAGGACAGGAAAAAAAAUGAAUCUACCCCAAAUACCCCCAUUGUGGUGAAUGAAUUGUUUGUUAGCUUGCUGAUAACUGCAGCAAAUAUGACUUUCGUCGAGGAAAACCACGUCAGCAGUGCCAGUACCGAGUCUGUAUCACUUUUGGCCCCAAGAAAAAGGUUGAGACAGUAGCGGAAGUGGAGGAAAUAGCCGUAAAACUGGGCUUGAGAAUCUCGAGCACGCAAUAAGCAAACGGUAUUUACGCAGAUUAUCUUGCACGCAAAGAUAAUUAGUCAAAUAUAAUUAUAUUGCCUUAACAUAAUUUAACCUUACCAUUCGCUUGAAACAAUAUUUGGUCAUCCACUGUUACGGACCACAAUGUAAAAAUACGUCGCGUCCGAGAAGUAAGUAUUGCAGUGACCGAUGCGGGCUAAAAUUGGUUUACUGAAGCAUUGUAGAGAUCCUAAGAAGGUUAUCCUUCGAAUUUGUUGCUGGAGCCACGUGUUGAAAAUUUGAAAUCCGUUGUCGUCUAUUUGGUUCAAUGACACUGAUGUAUGCGAGUAUCCUUUAGUACAGGAAGUCUUUGAAGAGACUGAAGAAUCCUGUUUUAUUAAAAAAAAAAAAAAGUGUCAAGCAUAACAACUGGGAGAAACUUGGAAAGCCAAAAUUAAUAUGGAAAGAGUACGCCAGUGGCUUAAACUUGAUGAGUUGUUCGGGAAAAAAAACGACAGUUUUGGAUUGCCAUGGUUCAGCGAGCUGGACUUUUACCAUUUAUACUUCAUUCAGCUUUCAACCAUGAAUUGAUGCAGCAACAAUACUCCGGACACAAUGACGCCACUGUAGAAACCGACGAGAUCAUUGCAACCAAUAAAAAUGGCAUCAUAGAAGACCAUUUCACGUGCUUUUUUUUUGCUAUUUUAUACGACUGUCAAUUCAUUCUCUGGUGUAAUGUGUCUCUUGACUUUGUCUACUUCCUUCUGAUUGAUGUUAAGCAAUUCUUUUUACAACUCUCAUAUGUUCUAAAUUAGGAUAAUAGAUGGCGCUGUUGUUGCGCCUAUGUCUUUGUUUUGUAAUAUAACCAAGUGCGACAAGUGAAUGCCGUGUCCGAAUAUUUGUUAACUGUGUUACUUUUCAAUAAUAAGUUCGAUACAAUUAAAUGGUGUACUUUCUACUUUUGAGAGUUUUCAUUCUUGUGUGUGUUUUUGAAGUGAAGUAAAUCAAAUGGAUUAUUUUUUGUGCAACAGGUAAACUUGUGAUCAGCUAUGUCAGCUGCCAAAUCCAAAACUGUUUGCUACCUAUGGCUUUUGCAUUCCCUCAUGCUUUGCUCAUUGAGAGAAUUAGCUUGUGAAACCUGAAUUGCAAAGGAUGCCGACUGGAGAAAAUGACACAUAUCAUAGGGGUUGGAAUACCAUCAUCUCAUUCUGCUACUCUUUAUCCAUUCAUCAUGUUCUGUCAGUUAUGAUCUGACAAGUGCAGCAUAUGUUGUGUUGCAAACCAUUAACCAUAACCAUUUCAACAAUCUUCUCGUCAUUUCUACUGAGCCUAUUAAGUAGCAGGAUUUUGUGUUGAGAGCUCGUGGAACUAAAAGGGAAAAAGGAUACUGGCCUUGAAGGAAGAUCACCAACGAUGCAAAAUUAAUGGAUUGGAAUACCUCAUGUAAUUCUUAUACUCUUGGCCCACACAUCAUCUCAUUCAACAAAUGAUUUCGCCUCGCCCGUCGCCCCGUCUUCGCCUCGCCCGUCGCCCCGUCUUCGCCUCGCCCGUCGCCCCGUCUUCGCCUCGCCCGUCGCCCCGUCUUUGCUUCGUCCGUCGCCCCGUCUUCGCUUCGUCCAUCACCCCGUCUUCGCCUUGUGGUCGCCUUGUCAUCGUGGUAUCUUUGUAUUUUGUAAUGUUUAGUGCUAAUUAACCCGUUGGCUGCCACCCACUUUGAUCCCCUUUUUUUUUAAAGCUUGUUAGGGUCCGGCAGCGCUGUUCUGCCCAAUGGUCUAUAUGCCAUGGGUGGGACAGUUGCACAAGCCGUGUGGCUCAAAGUCGAUCGUCGAGGCAAUGUACCAGUAGGGACUUUCCCUUUUUCGAUGCUUUGAUGGUUGCCUGGAGUGUACAUUCUCACAAAGGCUUCUGUCAUCGUGUCAGCCCGGAUUUGUCGUAGGACAAGUCCCCCUUGGUCGCUAUCCAUUCGAUAGCGAUGUAGCUAGCGUAGAUUUAGUGGCGUGGCAGCCAACGGGUUAGUUUUAUGUAUGUGUGUUUUGUAUUGUAUUGUAUUUAAAAUCUAAAAUCUUGUGGUGGAUUUGUGGGUGGAUGGAGGGACAAUAAA
rnacentral:lncRNA from 1 species